GAUUCCCCUAGUAACGGCGAGUGAAGCGGGAAGAGCUCAAAUUUGUAAUCUGGCACUUUCAGUGUCCGAGUUGUAAUCUCGAGAAGUGUUUUCCGCGCCAGACCGCAUACAAGUCUGUUGGAAUACAGCGUCAUAGUGGUGAGAACCCCGUAACUGAUGCGGAUGCCUGGUGCUCUGUGAUACACUUUCGAAGAGUCGAGUUGUUUGGGAAUGCAGCUCAAAUUGGGUGGUAAAUUCCAUCUAAAGCUAAAUAUUGGCGAGAGACCGAUAGCGAACAAGUACCGUGAGGGAAAGAUGAAAAGCACUUUGGAAAGAGAGUUAACAGUACGUGAAAUUGUUGGAAGGGAAACGCUUGAAGUCAGACUUGCUAUUUGGAAUUCAGCCGCAAGGUGUAUUUUUCAAUUCGCAGGCCAGCAUCAGUUUUUGGGGGUGGAAAAGGGUAGAGAGAAGGUAGCAACUCCGGUUGUGUUAUAGCUCUUUGCUGGAUUCAUCCUUGGGGACUGAGGAACGCAGCACGCUUUUUGCAAGGCUUUCGAGCUUUUCGUGCUUAG
rnacentral:rRNA from 1 species